GGAAAGACUGUAGCUCAUUGGUAGAGCACCUGCUUUGCAUGAAGAAGGUCCCAAGUUCAGGUCCUGGCAUCUCCA